UUUCCUGUAGCUCAGUCAGUAGAGCACUUCGCUAACAUCGUAAAGGUUGUAGGUUCAAACAACAGGGAAAG